GAUGAACGCUGGCGGCGUGCCUAAUACAUGCAAGUCGAACGAACAGACGAGGAUCUUGCUCCUCUGACGUUAGCGGCGGACGGGUGAGUAACACGUGGAUAACCUACCUAUAAUACUGGGAUAACUUCGGGAAAGCGGAGCUAAUACCGUAUAAUAUAUUGAACCUCAUGGGUCAAUAGUGAAGGGCGUUUUUGCUGUCGCUUAUAGAUGGAUCCUCGCCGCAUUAGCUAGGUGGCAAGGUAACGGCGUACCAAGUCACCGAUGCGUAGCCGACCUGAGAGGGUGAUCGGCCAACCUGGAACUGGGACACGGUCCAGACGCCUACAGGAGGAAGCAGUAGGGAAUUUUGCGAGAUGGGCGAAAGCCUGCAGGACCAACGCAGCGUGAGUGAUGAAGGUCUUCGGAUCGUAAAACUCUGUUCUUCGGGAAGAACAAAUGUGUAAGUAACUAUGCACGUCUUGACGGUACCUAAUCAGAAAGCCACGGCUAACUACGUG
rnacentral:rRNA from 1 species